AACUCUCAAACAAGAUAGAUUUAUUUCUAGUCUCUGUUUGGAUUUGGACUCUGCUGUGUCAAUGCGGCUAGUCUUAAAUGUAUUAGCUGGUCCAAGUGAAGGUUUGGUUCUACUCAGCAUGAUAAUUAUCUGGUGUUGAGGACAGUCUCAGGACUGGCCAGACUCUCUCUGGAUUGCUUCUAAUCGUCUUUGGACAAUUGCUCAAU
rnacentral:misc_RNA from 1 species